CAGACCUCAUUUAAGGGUGGCAGUGGAUGUGAGGGUAUCUUGCUGGAGAUCCUUGCAUGCCUGAGGGUAUUCUGAAUAAGCCUUACUGCUGUAUUUUCAGAAAUGGCAGUUGAAAGUCUGGCAAGCUCUGUUUCCAGAAGAACGAUUUCAAUCACUUCAAACAAAGCAGAAAAACGUGAUUUGCUGAGUGGUUCGCUUCAUCCCGGGAAGAAAUCUGAGAUGUAUUCAGCCUUAUUGCCAACGAGGCACUGUUGUUAAUGAGAGGUUUAAUUUUAAAUAGUUAAGUACCUGCAGAAAUGUCUGUAAGCAGCUACUGACUUUAAA